UGAGGAAUAUUGGUCAAUGGACGAGAGUCUGAACCAGCCAAGUAGCGUGCAGGAUGACGGCCCUAUGGGUUGUAAACUGCUUUUGUUUGGGAAUAAUCGACAUUACGUGUAAUGUUUUGCAUGUACCAUUCGAAUAAGGACCGGCUAAUUCCGUGCCAGCAGCCGCGGUAAUACGGAAGGUCCAGGCGUUAUCCGGAUUUAUUGGGCGUAAAGGGUGCGUAGGUGGUCUUUCAAGUCGGUGGUUAAAGGCUACGGCUCAACCGUAGUUAGCCUCCGAAACUGGAAGACUUGAGUGCAGGAGAGGAAAGUGGAAUUCCCAGUGUAGCGGUGAAAUGCGUAGAUAUUGGGAGGAACACCAGUAGCGAAGGCGGCUUUCUGGACUGCAACUGACACUGAGGCACGAAAGCGUGGGUAGCAAACAGG
rnacentral:rRNA from 1 species